GACGAACGCUGGCGGCGUGCCUAAUACAUGCAAGUUGAGCGCUGAAGGUUGGUACUUGUACCAACUGGAUGAGCAGCGAACGGGUGAGUAACGCGUGGGGAAUCUGCCUUUGAGCGGGGGACAACAUUUGGAAACGAAUGCUAAUACCGCAUAAAAACUUUAAACACAAGUUUUAAGUUUGAAAGAUGCAAUUGCAUCACUCAAAGAUGAUCCCGCGUUGUAUUAGCUAGUUGGUGAGGUAAAGGCUCACCAAGGCGAUGAUACAUAGCCGACCUGAGAGGGUGAUCGGCCACAUUGGGACUGAGACACGGCCCAAACUCCUACGGGAGGCAGCAGUAGGGAAUCUUCGGCAAUGGGCGAAAGUCUGACCGAGCAACGCCGCGUGAGUGAAGAAGGUUUUCGGAUCGUAAAACUCUGUUGGUAGAGAAGAACGUUGGUGAGAGUGGAAAGCUCAUCAAGUGACGGUAACUACCCAGAAAGGGACGGCUAACUAUGUG
rnacentral:rRNA from 1 species